rnacentral:lncRNA from 1 species
CGGGAUCGGCUUUCCUGGGAAUGUGGGAGUCUGGAAUUCCCAUGGAAUUCCCAUGAACCGCUCAUGGAUAGAACCCCUUGGAAUUCCCACUUUUUCCUUGGAUUCUUUGGGAAUUUUCCUCUCCCAGCUCAUGGAAUUCAUUGAUAAAACCUCUGGGAAUUCCCGUCUGGAAUUCCGACCCUUUGCGGUUAAUUCCUGAAAAUCCCUCGGGAAAAGCUCUGGAAUUCCAAAGCCUCCUGGUUAAUCCCAGAAAACUUUUCAGGAGAAGCUCUGGAAUUCCGACCCCUCCCGGACAGGGAAUUCCGGCUUCUUUUCCUGGCGGGGUUUUCCCUCCCUGUGGGCCGGGAAUUCCGGACUUUUCAUGGACUUUUCUUGGACUUUUCCCAGACUUUUCCCGGCCUUUUCCCGACCUUUUCCCAGCCUUUUCCUGAACUUUUCCCGGCCUUUUCCUGACCUUUUCCCGGACUUUUCCCAGCAUUUUCCCGACCUUUUCCCAGACUUUUCUCGGCCUUUUCCUUGAUUUUUCCCAGACUUUUCCUGGCCUUUUCCCAGACUUUUCCCGACCUUUUCCCGGCCUUUUCCCAGCCUUUUCCCAGCCUUUUCCCGACCUUUUCCCGGCCUUUUCCGGACUUUUCCGGGCUCUAUUCCCAGGUACUUCCAGAGCAUUUACGACACGGCCGAGGGCCUCGGGCUGAGCUACCCCGAGGGGCUGAGCCCGGAGCAGCGCCUGGAGUUCGUCACCGACACCGCCCAGGCCCUGUCCCAGGUGGCCACGCUGGUGGCCCGGGCGCUGUUCUCGCUGGCCGGGGGAGCCGCCGGCGCCGCCGAGAGCAUCCGGGCGGAUCCCAAAACGGUGGGAAUCCAUCCCGGAACGCCGGGAAUGCCGGGAGUCCACACCUGGCCUGGCGUCCCUGGAAUUCCCCAGUUUUCCCGAAAACCCUGGAAUUAGGAUCCCCGGUUUUGUUGAGAUCCCUGGAAUUGGAAUCGCCAGUUUUCCUAAAAUCCUGGAGUUUGGAAUCUCCGAUAUUCCUGAAAUCCCUGGAAUUAGGAUCCCAAAUUUUCCUGAAAUCCCUGGAAUUGGAAUCUCCAAUUUUCCUGAAAUCCUUGGAAUCGGAAUCCCAAUUUUUCCUGAAAUCCCUGGAAUUAGAAUCGCCAGUUUUCCUGAAACCCCUGGAAUUAGGAUUCCCAGUGUUGUUGAGAUUCCUGGAAUUGGGAUCCCCAGUUUUCCUGAAAUCCUGGACUUUGGAAGCUCCAAUAUUCCUGAAAUCCCUGGAAUUAGGAUCCUCAAUUUUCCUGGGAUCCCUGGAAUUAGAAUCGCCAAUUUUCCUGGAAUCCUUGGAAUCAGAAUCCCCAAUUUUCCUGCUCUCCCCGAUUUUCCUGGAAUUCCCGAUUUUCCUGGGAUCCCCCAUCCCGCCGCCUCCCCGGAAUUCCAGCUCCUUUCCUG